GAACAUUGAAGCGGUAGGCGCUCCGCCAUGCGUUUACCGUGGAGUUCCGAAGGGUUUUGUGCGUAUUCCUCAAGGCGGAUAGGUGAGAACUGAAAGAAAACGCACCAU
rnacentral:sRNA from 12 species